CUAGUCAAAAUGCCCGGGCCGAUUUUUUUGUCCCAGUCCAGCCCUGCCUACACGGGUAUUUUUGAAAACGCAGCUGUUUCUAUGCGUUUGGGCUUUUCGUCAACACGUAAACGGCGUUGCGAUUCACCGAAAACGGAGAUUAUUUAAAACUCCUUUUUUGCGUUUACGUGUGGACGAGGAUUACAGAGUUCGUCACGCAACGUCAAAGACAUGCUGAACCUAAGCUCUGUGACUCCACCAGUGUCUCACAGUGCUGGUGCUCCAAACCAGGGAGGAGGGAUGGAAGAGAAACUCAAAACCACCCAGGGUGGGUGUGGAG
ensembl:lncRNA